CCCAAAAUAUUGGGACAUAUAAAAAAGAUAACUCUGUUCCGCAGAGUAGCUGUUGACAUUAUAGUUGCGCAGGCACUUUGUUGACUCUAGAGAACCUCGGGCCAAUCGCACAACUUCGUGACGGCGACUUUGCAUUCGGAUGUCAUCCAUAUCAACUUUUAAAGCCAGUUUCUGCGCCUACCAUGGUGACCACGGGUAACAGGGAAUCAGGGUUCCAUUCCAUACAGGGACCCUGAGAAACGGCUACCACAUGCAAGGAAGGCAGCAGCGCAAAUAACCCACUCCCGACGUGGGAAGGUAGUGACG